UGCGUAGGGGGCAAGCGUUGUCCGGAAUCACUGGGCGUAAAGCGCACGUAGGCGGAUUGCUAAGUCAGGGGUGAAAUCCUGGAGCUCAACUCCAGAACUGCCUUUGAUACUGGUGAUCUUGAGUCCGGGAGAGGUGAGUGGAACUGCGAGUGUAGAGGUGAAAUUCGUAGAUAUUCGCAAGAACACCAGUGGCGAAGGCGGCUCACUGGCCCGGUACUGACGCUGAGGUGCGAAAGCGUGGGGAGCAAACAGG
rnacentral:rRNA from 1 species